GCACAACGCGAAGAACCUUACCUAGGCUUGACAUGCAUCUCUAAGCGCGUGAAAGCGCGUGACCCUUCGGGGGAUUUGCACAGGUGCUGCAUGGCCGUCGUCAGCUCGUGUCGUGAGAUGUUGGGUUAAGUCCCGCAACGAGCGCAACCCUUGUGAACAGUUGCCAGCACUUAAGGUGGGAACUCUGUUCAGACUGCCCAGAUCAACUGGGGAGGAAGGUGGGGACGACGUCAGGUCAGUAUGGCCCUUACGCCUAGGGCUGCACACGUACUACAAUGCCCAGCACAAUGAGAACCGAGACCGCGAGGUGGAGGAAAUCUAAAAAACUGGGCCCAGUUCGGAUUGGAGGCUGCAACUCGCCUCCAUGAAGUUGGAAUCGCUAGUAAUGGCGCAUCAGCUACGGCGCCGUGAAUACGUUCCCGGGUCUUGUACACACCG
rnacentral:rRNA from 1 species